UCAUGAUCGAUGUCCAUGACACUUGACUUUUGAGUUAUGCUAGGUUCUGCAACUAUCUUGAUGUGUGGCUUUAUCAGCUCUGGAUAUCUUCAGGAUUUUACAACUUACGAACUAUCUCGGGAGGUCAUGUACUUUCAGGCAGUAUAAGCUCAUCUUCUCGUCCUUUCUUUCGAAAGACUCCUCGAUUUGCCCGACCACUAGUUUUGAGUCACUGAAAACUUUGACAUGCUCUAACUCAAGAUUUUUUGCCAGUUCCAAGGCUAUGAUAACGGCUUCAUAUUCUGUUUUGUUGUUGGUGGCCUUGAAUUUAAAUUUGAGCGCACAUUGUAUUUCUGUAGCCUUGUCCGAGCUAGUGAUGAUGACGCCGGCCCCCGAGCCCGAGCUAUUGAAUGCUCCAUCCACAAAGAUUUCCCAUAAUUUCCAGGUCGUGCUCGGGUCUUUAGCUUGUGUUUCUGAGGGCCUUGUAGUGAGCUCUGCUAUGAAGUCAGCCAAAGCUUGAGCCUUGAUUGCAGGUCGUGGCUUAAAGUCUAUGUCAAAUUCGCCAAGUUCAAUUGCCCAUUUCAACAGUCUUUCUGAGACGUCCGGCUUCUGGAGUAUGUGUCUAAGUGGUUGGUUAGUGAGCACAACAAUUGGAUGUGACUGAAAGUAUGGCCGUAAUUUUCUGGCAGCUAUUACCAAAGCUAGGGCAAGCUAUUCUACAAGUGUGUAUCGUGUCUCUACAUCAAGGAGUAUUUUACUUACAUAAUAGACUCCUUUACCAAGACCCUACUUACUGCAUUAUGAGAAACAGCCAAGUAUAAUAGCAACGUGUCACCGGAUUCGGGUUUGGUAAGAACUGGAGGUGUUGAUAACGUCUGCUUGAGCUCUUGAAAAGCUAAGUUGCAUUCCCCAUUCCAGUCAAAGCUUUUAUUUUCCCUAAGUAGUCUGAAA
rnacentral:lncRNA from 1 species